UACGAAGGGGGCUAGCGUUGCUCGGAAUCACUGGGCGUAAAGCGCACGUAGGCGGAUUGUUAAGUCAGGGGUGAAAUCCUGGAGCUCAACUCCAGAACUGCCUUUGAUACUGGCGAUCUUGAGUCCGGGAGAGGUGAGUGGAACUGCGAGUGUAGAGGUGAAAAUUCGUAGAUAUUCGCAAGAACACCAGUGGCGAAGGCGGCUCACUGGCCCGGUACUGACGCUGAGGUGCGAAAGCGUGGGGGAGCAAACAGGAUUAAGAAACCCUUAGU
rnacentral:rRNA from 1 species